UUGUGGAUACCAAUAAAAUUAGCAGGGCAGGAGAGAAGAAAUGUAUUUAAGCUGUUCGGUGAGAUUAUAAUAAUUUCGGCAAUUUGGAGUGGCGAAUUAAACCAGGGAAUUAGCAUUAUCAACUCAAGGGUUGAGUGGCGAAGAAACUGAAGCCUUGCACAAUAAUACGGUUAGAAAGAGGUAGUUUUCAGGCAUUACGCACACCAGAAACAUUGCCAAUAUAAGGU